UCUGAAUCAAUUAAGAUGAUCAUGAUUUUUUUCUCUUACUAGUUAAUGUGGUUAAUUAUAAUUUUCAAAUGUUAAACCAACCUCGCAGUCCUAGAGUAAACCCCAUUUGGUAAUUGUGUAGUAUCGUUUAAUAUCUAUAUCUAUAUUGCUGUUUUCUUGUAUAUAUUUUCAUGAGAGAGAUUGGCCUGUAGUCUUGAAAUGUCUUUGUCAUGUUUUGAUAGAGAGGUUAUGCUGACCUCUUUUCUAUUGUCUUUUUGUAUUGUCUGAAACAAUUUGUAUUUUGAGUGAGGUCAUCUUCGUCUCUCAAGACCAGCCCAGUUGCCAGCUGAAUACCACUGAAUGAACAACCAAACUGUCACUGGAGAUGAAGAGAGGGCCUUGGCCACUGUGCCAGGUGUGCCUGCUACAGUUCUUGGAAAACAGAGGCUGCUCAGUAGAGGAGGGUGAUAUAUCUUCCUGACAAAGCUCCUGCCAGGAGACGAUGUGCAUAACUCAGCCCUGAGCCUUUCUAUGAGCUCUGCCAAAUCCGACAGACAGGUGCUGACGACAGAAAGAUGAAUAAGAUGCUGACUCUGUCCUCGAGGUACAUACAAUCCAGUGGAGACACACAGUCUUGUGCAUGAAUAAGAACAACAUGGCAAUAAUGAGCAACAGUGCCUUUGUGGGGCAAAGUCAUGUGGUGCCACUUCCAUCUGUUUUAUUAACAAACAGAACAUGGUCUCUUAAAAGAGGCUUUUCUGGAUGUGCUUUUUGUUUUUUUAAGUGCUGAAAGCUAGGUACCUAUAUUAUAUCCUUGAUUUUGUCUCAUGUCCUGAAAAGCCUAAAAUGUGGAUCUUUAUCAAAAAAGAAUGCCAAAUCUUGUUUUAAAACUGGAAUGCUGUGGAACACAAUGUUUCCCAGAGAGAAAUCCCUGAAAUUCUAUUCCCACUGAUCUUCAAUGCAGAAGAGGUACCAUGGUCAAAUGAAGGCCCUGACAAUUCCUGAAGUAAUAACAAAUUCACGACCACAAUCAAAUGAACGUGCAAAUCCAUUUCACUGUGUUUAACUGAAUGUUUUUCAAUAUCUGUGAAGACAGACUGUUCAUUGGAAAACAAUCCUCAAAAUGCACAUUGGGCCCUGGCCGUGAGCUGGGUUCUGUCUGGCACACUCCUGUGUUCUCU
rnacentral:lncRNA from 1 species